GAUGACACACCACUGAGGGGUGCUGAAGGCCCAGAGUACCACCCCACUGAUAAAGUGCAGAAUACAGACGUUUUCUCGGCCUGUGGGUGUGCCUCAUCACAUUUGUGACCGACACCUGUGCUCUGGUGGGGUGUUGGCCUGUCCUCCAGGCAGGGUGCUUAUCUGCUCUGGUUUCUACCAGGAUUAGACCAGGUGAAGUAGAGGAAUGGGCCUCGCUCAUGAACAGGUAUGUGGCUGGCCUGUGGGGCUCUUACCUAGUUGCUCCCAAAUGUGACUUUCUGAUUCACAAACCCAGAUCACCUGCUCCUGUGACCCAGCCAUUAUCUGGAAUUCAUCUCAAAGUUUUCUGAGCUAACCUGGGUGACACUGUCUCCACCCCACCCCACCCCCACUGCCCAACACUACAGCUCCCAGCCUACCUGAGCACGGGUUAGGGGUCAAAUGUCAGCAGCUCCCCUAACAGAGGCAGCUGGAAGGAAGGCUCUGGGUCUGAAAGAACAGAUGGGCACUCCACACCAAAGGGAAGCCUGUGCUUCUGCUUGCCUGUUGAACCAAGGCCUGAUCAUUCACCCUGGCCUGUGAGGGCUUCUGUUCUUAAGAAUUACUUAAUACAAUGUGGCUUCUGGUUUUCCAUUCUGACCUGCUGCCAACCCUCUGAGGAGAGGUCAACUUGGCCCAAAGCUUGGUCGUGUGAUGGUCUGAGCAAAAUUAGGUUCCCGAGACUGCUGAGACCAUCACCUUGGACUGGCUGCCUAUCCCAAGAAGCCUCCUCUGAUACUUCUUGGUGCCUGGAUGGGGGCUGUAAGCUUACGCUGACACACUGGCAUCCCGCUGUAAGGAUGGGAGUGGGGUGGUGAAAUCAGUCCCAUCACAGCCCUCCCAGUCCUCCGGAGAGGUGCUGAUGAAAAUCUGAGGAUUCUUGCCUGUCUGCCUGAAUGAAACACUAGAUUCUCCGAAAAAUGUUUCCACUUGUCUUCAGAAAACAUUUUGUUAUGCUAGCUUGGUAGAAAUUGCCAGCACACUGAACUAGCUGCUGAAACUCACCUGUGGUGUUCAUCCGCGUGCACCUGCAAGCACCUCAGACCAGGAU